ensembl:ncRNA Y57A10A.39 ncRNA
UAAAAAGUUCGCCACGAGUCCAAAAGUAACGAGCAAACAAGAGAAGCCGAGCCGACCGCAACGAGUCGAAAAAAAAUCAAUCAAUUCGUAAAUCGAUGGGGAACGGAAUGGGGGGAGAAAACGAAGACAAUCUGCGGACUACUAGAGACC